GAUCGCGUAGCUCAGUUGGAAGAGCAUUGGGCUAGUAUUCCAAAGGUCGUAGGUUCGAAUCCCACCGUGGCCG